CAGAGGGUGCGAGCGUUGUUCGGAAUUAUUGGGCGUAAAGCGCGAGUAGGCGGUCUGUUAAGUCGCGUGUGAAAGCUCCCAGCUCAACUGGGAAAGUGCGCGCGAAACUGGUGGACUUGAGUGCUGGAGAGGGUGGCGGAAUUCCCGGUGUAGAGGUGAAAUUCGUAGAUAUCGGGAGGAACACCAGAGGCGAAGGCGGCCACCUGGAAAGUCACUGACGCUGAGAAGCGAAAGCGUGGGGAGCAAACAGGAUUAGAUACCCUGGUAGUCCACGCCGUAAACGAUGAGUGCUAGCUGUGGCGGGAGUUGACCCCUGCCGUGGCGACGCUAACGCAAUAAGCACUCCGCCUGGGGAGUACGGCCGCAAGGUUA
rnacentral:rRNA from 1 species